rnacentral:rRNA from 1 species
UACGUAGGGUGCGAGCGUUGUCCGGAAUUACUGGGCGUAAAGAGCUCGUAGGUGGUUUGUCGCGUUGUCCGUGAAAACUCACAACUCAAUUGUGGGCGUGCGGGCGAUACGGGCAGACUGGAGUACUGCAGGGGAGACUGGAAUUCCUGGUGUAGCGGUGGAAUGCGCAGAUAUCAGGAGGAACACCGGUGGCGAAGGCGGGUCUCUGGACAGUUCCUGACGCUCAGGCACGAAAGCCAGGGGAGCAAACGGG